GACGAAGGAUGCAAGCGUUAUCCGGAUUCAUUGGGUUUAAAGGGAGCGUAGGUGGCCUUAUAAGUCAGUGGUGAAAUCUCGCAGCUUAACUGCGAAAUUGCCAUUGAUACUGUAGGGCUUGAGUAUAGUUGCCGUUGGCGGAAUAUGACAUGUAGUGGUGAAAUACAUAGAGAUGUCAUAGAACACCGAUUGCGAAGGCAGCUAACGAAACUAUAACUGACACUGAAGGCUCGAAAGUGCGGGAUCAAACAGG
rnacentral:rRNA from 1 species